rnacentral:piRNA from 1 species
CAGGGUCUUACAUAGCCUGGGCUGGCCUCA